UCGCCACAGUGGAUCUGCAGCCUCACUAUAGUCAGUUAAAACUGAAGCUUGCUUCCGCUUCACUACGUCAUUAUCGACGAUCGGAGAGCGAUGAAUGGGAAGCCGGAGCUAUGGGAGGCCGAGUGCUUGAAGCUCGGGAGCCUCUCGACUCCAAACAAGACAACCAUUUCCUAGCCCUCACUGUAACGCAAGCAAAGAUAUCUAAUUUACCAGCCAGUUGGAGAGAAGAGCUACAUCCUAAGUUAUUGGAGCAAAAAUCUCAAGGGGCGGACAGUAUGUGGGAGGUGUAUGUGACACUGGC